UCCUCAUGAAUUGUCUUCCCUUUUUCCUCCCCCUAACCGAACCUAAGAAGGAUUUGGUGGUUUGGCUUAAAAUUCCAAGGUAAAAUAUGGUAAGUAACAUCAUCGAGGCGGCGUGCUGGAGGAAGUUACAAGAGAUUGGCAAGUAGAAUUAGCUAGAUACGCACUUGAAUUAAUAACGACGUAGUGUCCUACUAUUGUAAGAUAAGUAAUCAGUUCUAGUGCUUUAUUCAGUAUCUCGAGGCUAGUUACAGCCUAGGUAAUGGCAUCUCUAUACUUCUACUCAGAGUCACUCCGUUACCUAGAGGUCGGUAUGUGUCAAAUAGUCAGGCUUGUAAUGAUUAAUAGUUACUAGAAAUGUACUAGCUAGAACUUAAAGUUAUGUAAUGACUACUACAUAUUAUGUUGAAAUCGUAUGGAAUUAUCAAAUCUGGUUGUUUGUAUUUAAAAGCCAUGUUUAAAUGUUGUGAAUAAUUGGUUUAAAUGAAAUAUGGUGUUAAAAAUUGUAA